ensembl:lncRNA
GAAUAAAGACCCACUGUGGGCCAAUUGAUUCUGUUAGGUUAAAGGAAAGCUUUUAUUCUCGAUACAGCUACAAAGCAAAUCAGAUUCCUAUGUUAUAUAAGGGAAAUUUGGGGAUAUGUGUCUUAUUUCACACAGCUCUGAACAUAUUCAUUCUUCCUAUGAAUUCAGGUAUUCCUACAGUUUUAUCAGGACCACCACAUCUUAGAAAACCCUAAAAGAGGAAGCAGUUUCUUUUAAGAACCACAAGGGCUCACUUUCAGUGGCUGAACAUGUGGGUGUCAGAAAUGUCUUUCCAAUUUAACAUAUAAAUACACUAUAAACAGGAGAAAGGAAAAGGAGAUCCUCAGAAGCCACCUAGACAUGGGCCUGGGCAUCCUGCUUUGGGUGUCCUUGCGUGAGCAGGUGUUGGACCAGAUGGAUCCAGAGGUCCUUCCAGCCUGUGGUUCGGUGAAAUAUCUGCCCUCCAGGAGCAUACAUGGAAAUGCUAAUGGAAAUCAGCAGCCAUCUGUCUGUGCUAUCCAACUGGAUCAAAAUCUUGCCUACUUCUUCCUAGAGUCUUAUGACUGGCUCUGCAUCACGUUGGUUCAUAGUUUUUGUCUGUCUCAGAAGCUGACUGUAAGAAGGCAGGGAAUUGAGCGCAUGUAAAAGAUUCACGUUCCCAAUGCAUGGGGUCCUCCCUUCCACCCCAGCACAUCUGCAACCCCUCAAAUGCAACAUGGGCCCCCACACUGAUGUGCUUUCUGUGCAUCACGGGGUGCUUCAUGUAAGGCCCCAGGGGAAGUUCGUUCCUCCAUGGCCCUUUCACCUCUGGGCUUCUCUAGAAAGCAGCAAAGCUGUGCCAGCUGCUCAGGGCGGUUUGUAACACCUUCUCUCCCUGUGCUGAAAUGACCCGACUCCUUUCCCAUCGGCCGAUGAAUAGGCAGCAGUCAGUUGGCAGCUGCAGGGGACUGAGGAGCCUUGUGAAGGCUGAAAAGUAACAACAAUAAAGAAGAUGAAUCCUGGCCAACUUGUUGAGGAUUUAUAAAAUGAGGUCAAGUUUUGACAAACAUUCUUUUAUUUCACAGUGAAACUGGUGGACUCUGUUUAAAGUGGUUCCCACAACAAACUUCCCUCCAGACUCUAUCAGGGAAAGGCAGCUUCAUCCAACCAAGCUGGCAUUGCCAGGCACAGGUUAAAUGUUCCCAGGUAGACAAAGGUUGUGAGUACAGAGGGUGGAGUCACAUUGAAAGGGAUGCUGUAUUCAUGUGCUGGGUUUCUUUUAUUGGAUUUUAUCACUCUGUCUUACUCUGUUUGCCCUG